rnacentral:rRNA from 1 species
GACGAACGCUGGCGGCGUGCUUAACACAUGCAAGUCGAACGGAAAGGCCCUGCUUUUGUUGGUUUCUUGUUUGGCGAACGGGUGAGUAUCACGUGUGUAACCUGUCCUUGUCUUUCUGAUAUCUUCACGGAACUGCGGCUCUUAUCGGAUAUGAUCUCCUGCUGCAUGGUGUUGGUUGGUAAGUUUCGGCGGUUCUGUCAGUACUCGCUGCGUAUCCGCUUGUUUAUCUGGUAGUGGCUUUCCAAGCCUUUGACGGGUAGCAGGCCUGAGAGGGUGACCGGCCACAUUGGGACUGAGAUACGGCAGAGACUCCGACGGGAGGGAGCAGUGGGGAAGAUUGCACAAUGGGUGGAAGCCGGAUGCAGCAACGCCGUGUGCGGGAUGACGGCCUUAGGGUUGUAAACCGCAUUCGCUAAUGACGAAGCUUUGUGUGACGGUAGUGGGUAAAGAAGCACCGGCUAACUACGUG